AGGUCUCUGAGGAAGGCAGGGCUGUGCUCUACAAGAUGAUAUUGUUAGGUUUUCUCCUGUGCCUGGUGACAGGUCUCCAGGGUGUACUGUCCCAAGUGCAGCUGCAGGAGUCGGGCCCAGGACUGGUGAAACCCUCACAGACCCUCUCCCUUACCUGCACUGUCUCUGGGUUCUCAUUAACAAGCUCUCAUGUGCACUGGGCCCGCCAGGCUCCAGAGAAGGGGCUGAAAUGGGUCGGUGUCAUAUGGAGUGCUGGAAGUACAGAGUACCACCCAGCGCUGAAAUCUCGGCUCAGCAUCACCAGGGACACCUCCAAGAGCCAAGUGUAUUUAACACUGAACCGCCUGAGAACUGAUGACAUAGCCAUUUAUUACUGUGCAACAAGCACAGCGAGGGGAAGUCAGUGUGAGCCUUGA